rnacentral:rRNA from 1 species
GAUGAACGCUAGCUACAGGCUUAACACAUGCAAGUCGAGCGACCGGCGCACGGGUGAGUAACACGUAUCCAACCUGCCCUUUACUCGGGGAUAGCCUUUCGAAAGAAAGAUUAAUACCCGAUGUAAAGGAUGGGGAUGCGUUCCAUUAGGUUGUUGGUGAGGUAACGGCUCACCAAGCCUUCGAUGGCUAGGGGUUCUGAGAGGAAGGUACACCAGAAUGGAACGGAGACACGGACCAAACGCCUACGGGAGGCAGCAGUGAGGAAUAUUGGUCAAUGGGCGUUAGCCUGGACCAGCCAAGUAGCGUGAAGGAUGAAGGCUUAUGGGUCGUAAACUUCUGUUAUAUAAGAAUAUGUAUUAUAUGAAUAAGGAUCGGCUAACUCCGUGCCAGCAGCCGCGGUAAUUC